UGGGGAAUUUUGCACAAUGGGGGAAACCCUGAUGCAGCGACGCCGCGUGAUUUAGAAGGCCUUCGGGUUGUAAAAAUCUUUUCUAUGGGAAGAAAAUGACAGUACCAUAGGAAUAAGGACCGGCUAAUUACGUGCCAGCAGCCGCGGUAAUACGUAAGGUCCGAGCGUUGUCCGGAAUCAUUGGGCGUAAAGGGUACGUAGGCGGGUAAGCAAGUUAGAAGUGAAAUCCUGUAGCUCAACUACAGUAAGCUUUUAAAACUGCUCAUCUUGAGAUAUGGAAGGGAGAGUGGAAUUCCUAGUGUAGCGGUGAAAUGCGCAGAUAUUAGGAGGAAUACCGGUGGCGAAGGCGACUUUCUGGCCAUAAUCUGACGCUGAGGUACGAAAGCGUGGGUAGCAAACAGG
rnacentral:rRNA from 2 species